AUGCGCAUGAGCCUCAAAGAAGCGUUAGCGGGCACCUCUUCUCCCAUAUUUUUAUCUUUAAAAGAACUGGACCGGCAGGCAGCCGGUGAACCGCGGAGAGGCUCGUCACUGGGGCGAGUGAGGAACCAUGAUCCUCGUGGGCCACCAUCCUGGAAGUGGCCCUUAGAGGAAGAAAGUGCUGGGUUCCUGGGGAGGAAUGCUUCUCGGCAUUCUAGACGGUAUCCAACUGUUGAAAAAUGAGCCAAAGUCUUCAAUGGAACAAGUUAUGUGCCUAUUCCUGAAGAUGGUCCCUUUCUUAAAGCACUGCUUUUUGAACUUAGAUUAUUGGAUGAUGAUAAGACUUCAUCGAAAGUCAUGAUAGCUGUUCACACAUCAAUAAAACAUCUGUCUAUGAACUCCUAGUAGGAGGUGGAGAACUCUGGCCAGUUGUUGCUUUUCUGAAGAAUAACAGGAUAUAUGCUUGUGUUCCACUAGUUGAACAAACUUUAUCCCCUUGUCCACCAUUAAUCAGCAUUCAUGGAAUUUCACAGAGCUUUGAACUUCUUUUUGGGAUACAGGAUUUUCUUCACUUGGGUCAAAAAAAUGACCCUGAGUUAAACACAAAAUUGAACCAGCUGCCUGAUUUGCUUCUACAAGCUUGUCCAUUUGGAACUUUGUUAGAUGCCAACUUACAGAAUUCACUGAAUAGUAUUAAUUUUGCUUCUGUGACACAGCCACAAAAACAGCCAGCCUGGAAAGUUGGAACAUACAAAGGAAAACCACAAGUUUCUAUUUCUAUCACUGAAAAGGUAAAAUCCAUGCAAUAUGAUAAACAGGAUAUAGCAGAUACAUGGCAGGUUGUUGGAGCUGUCACUUGCAAGUGUGAUUUAGAAGGAAUCAUGCCAAAUGUUACCAUCAGCUUGAGUCUCCCCACCAGUGGGUCUCCACUUCAGGAUAUUCUAGUUCAUCCUUGUGUGACUUCUCUUGACUCUGCUAUUCUGACUUCUAGUAGCAUUGAUGCAGUGGAUGAUUCUGCAUUUAGUGGACCUUACAAAUUUCCAUUCACUUCUCCUUUAGAGUCAUUCAACUUAUGCUACUAUACUUCGCAGGUCCCAGUCCUACCAAUUUUGGGUUUUUAUCAAACGAAAGAGGAAGAAAUACAAGUAAAAAUAACACUUAAUUUAAAAUUUCAUGAAAGUGUGAAAAAUAAUUUUGAAUUCUGUGAAGUUCGUAUACCUUUUUAUAAUAGAGGUCCAAUCACACAUGUGGAAUACAAAGGUAGUUUUGGCCAGCUUGCAGUAUCUCGAGAGAAAAGCUUAUUGAUCUGGAUUAUUGGACAGAAGUUCCCCAAAUCAAUGGAAAUUAGUCUUUCUGGAACUGUCACUUUUGGAGCCAAGAGUCAUGAGAAGCAGCCAUUUGAUGAGAUUUGCAUUGGAGGUACAGCAUAUUUAAAGCUUCACUUUAAGAUCUCAGAUUAUACACUCACUGGUUGUUAUGCGAAUCAGCAUUCAGUUCAAGUUUUUGCAUCAGGAAAACCAAAAAUAAGUACACACCGGGAACUAAUUUCUUCUGACUAUUACAACUGGAAUUCUAAAGCUCCUGCACCAAUAACAUAUGGAUCAUUAUUACUGUAAUUAUCUCAUACUUAA